AAUCAACGCUGGCGGCAUGCCUUACACAUGCAAGUCGAACGGUAACGCGGGGCAACCUGGCGACGAGUGGCGAACGGGUGAGUAAUGCAUCGGAACGUGCCCAGUAGUGGGGGAUAGCCCGGCGAAAGCCGGAUUAAUACCGCAUACGACCUACGGGUGAAAGCGGGGGACCGUAAGGCCUCGCGCUAUUGGAGCGGCCGAUGUCAGAUUAGGUAGUUGGUGAGGUAAAGGCUCACCAAGCCGACGAUCUGUAGCUGGUCUGAGAGGACGACCAGCCACACUGGGACUGAGACACGGCCCAGACUCCUACGGGAGGCAGCAGUAGGGAAUUUUGGACAAUGGGCGCAAGCCUGAUUCAGCCAUGCCGCGUGCGGGAAGAAGGCCUUCGGGUUGUAAACCGCUUUUGUCAGGGAAGAAACGCUCUGGGCUAAUACCCCGGGGUAAUGACGGUACCUGAAGAAUAAGCACCGGCUAACUACGUGCCAGCAGCCGCGGUAACAC
rnacentral:rRNA from 1 species